AACUAACAAGGAUUCCCCUAGUAACGGCGAGUGAAGCGGGAAGAGCUCAAAUUUGUAAUCUGGCGGUCUACGGCCGUCCGAGUUGUAAUCUGGAGAAGCGUUUCGGCGCCGGUCCGCGUACAAGUCCCCUGGAACGGGGCGUCGCAGAGGGUGAGAAUCCCGUCUUUGACGCGGUCCGCCGGUGCCGUGCGAUGCGCUCUCGAAGAGUCGAGUUGUUUGGGAAUGCAGCUCAAAACGGGUGGUAAAUUCCAUCUAAAGCUAAAUACUGGCGAAAGACCGAUAGCGAACAAGUACCGUGAGGGAAAGAUGAAAAGCACUUUGGAAAGAGAGUCAAACAGUACGUGAAAUUGUUGAAAGGGAAACGCUUGAAGUCAGUCGCGUCUCUCGGGACUCAGCCGAGAACCUUCUCGGUGCAUUUCCCGAGUCUGGACGGGCCAGCAUCGGUUUCGACCGUCGUAAAAAGGCGUGAGGAAUGUGGCACCCUCGGGUGUGUUAUAGCCUCUCGUCGUAUGCGACGGACGGGACCGAGGAACGCAGCGCGCCCCUCGCGGGGCCGGGGUUCGCCCACGUAACGCGCUUAGGAUGCUGGCGUAAUGGCUUCAAGCGACCCGUCUUGAAACACGGACCAAGGAGUCUAACAUGCUCGCGAGUGUUCGGGUGGAAAACCCGUGCGCGUAAUGAAAGUGAAAGGUUGGGACCCCUCGUUUGGGGGCACCGACGCCCGGACUCGAGCUUCUGCGAAGGUUCCGAGGCAGAGCGCGUAUGUUGGGACCCGAAAGAUGGUGAACUAUGCCUGAGUAGGGCGAAGCCAGAGGAAACUCUGGUGGAGGCUCGUAGCGAUUCUGACGUGCAAAUC
rnacentral:rRNA from 1 species